CCUACGGGUGGCAGCAGUAGGGAAUUUUCGGCAAUGGGCGGAACCCUGACCGAGCAACGCCGCGUGAACGAAGAAGUUACUCGUAAUGUAAAGCUCUUUUUACAGGGAAGAAAGAGAAAUUUGACGGUACCUGAAGAAUAAGCCCCGGCUAACUACGUGCGAGCAGCCGCGGUAAUACGUAGGGAGCGAGCGUUAUCCGGAAUUAUUGGGCGUAAAGGGUGCGUAGAUGGCAUAGUAAGUCUUUUGUAAAAAUGCGGGGCUCAACCCAGUAGGGCAAAAGAUACUGAAAGGCUAGAGUAUGACAGAGGCAAGUGGAACUACAUGUGUAGCGGUAAAAUGCAUAAAUAUAUGUAAGAACGCCAGUGGCGAAGGCGGCAUGCUGGGUCGAUACUGACAUUGAGGCACGAAAGCGUGGGGAGCAAACAGGAUUAGAUACCCCUGUAGUC
rnacentral:rRNA from 1 species